rnacentral:rRNA from 1 species
GAACGCGAAGAACCUUACCUAAGCUUGACAUCCCUCGGACAGGUGUUUAAUCACACCCUUCCUUCGGGACUGAGGUGACAGGUGGUGCAUGGUUGUCGUCAGCUCGUGUCGUGAGAUGUUGGGUUAAGUCCCGCAACGAGCGCAACCCUUGUCUUUAGUUGCCAGCAUUCAGUUGGGCACUCUAGAGAGACUGCCAGGGAUAACCUGGAGGAAGGUGGGGAUGACGUCAAAUCAUCAUGCCCCUUAUGCUUAGGGCUACACACGUGCUACAAUGGGUGGUACAGAGGGUUGCCAAACCGCGAGGUGGAGCCAAUCCCUUAAAGCCAUUCUCAGUUCGGAUUGUAGGCUGAAACUCGCCUACAUGAAGCUGGAGUUACUAGUAAUCGCAGAUCAGAAUGCUGCGGUGAAUGCGUUCCCGGGUCUUGUACACACC